GUUGAACGCUGGCGGCGUGCCUAAUACAUGCAAGUCGAGCGAACGGACGAGAAGCUUGCUUUUCUGAUGUUAGCGGCGGACGGGUGAUUAACACGUGGAUAACCUACCUAUAAGACUGGGAUAACUUCGGGAAACCGGAGCUAAUACCGGAUAAUAUUUUGAACCGCAUGGUUCAAAAGUGAAAGACGGUCUUGCUGUCACUUAUAGAUGGAUCCGCGCUGCAUUAGCUAGUUGGUAGGGUAACGGCUUACCAAGGCAACGAUGCAUAGCCGACCUGAGAGGGUGAUCGGCCACACUGGAACUGAGACACGGUCCAGACUCCUACGGGAGGCAGCAGUAGGGAAUCUUCCGCAAUGGGCGAAAGCCUGACGGAGCAACGCCGCGUGAGUGAUGAAGGUCUUCGGAUCGUAAAACUCUGUUAUUAGGGAAGAACAUAUGUGUAAGUAACUGUGCACAUCUUGACGGUACCUAAUCAGAGAGCCACGGCUAACUACGUG
rnacentral:rRNA from 1 species